rnacentral:lncRNA from 1 species
ACUGACUGCAUCUCAUAAUCAGGAGUGGAUUGGAAGCAAGAAACAUUUUAAUCUAAAGUGCAGUGCUGCAGGACACCAGCCUUGACACACUUCUCCCUUUCCUUGCUGUCCUUCACAUUGUGAAUAAGUGAACCUUCAGCCCUGCAAGCCUUGUACGCAAUUCAAAGUGCAAGAGCCAAUGCACUUGCCAUCAGAAGGACAGAGCAGGACACCUUGCGUUCUGAGGAUGUGAAGGCAAUUGAAGAAAUGGCCUUCUGCAGGCUGUCAGUGACAGAUACCAGCUCACUCACAUCGAUAAAGCUCAAUUAGCUGCCGGAGAAGGCAUCUUUUAAAAAUGUAAUGAGCUGCACCAUGGAAG